UACAGAGGUGGCGAGCGUUAAUCGGAAUUACUGGGCGUAAAGCGUGCGUAGACGGUUAUGUAAGUCGGGUGUGAAAGCCACGGGCUCAACCUGGGAAUUGCAUUCGAGACUGCAUAGCUGGGAUGCGGAAGAGGGAAGCUGAAUUUCCGGUGUAGCGGUGAAAUGCGUAGAUAUCGGAAGGAACACCAGUGGCGAAAGCGGCUCCCUGGUCCAGCAUCGACGUUCAGGCACGAAAGCGUGGGGAGCAAAUGGG
rnacentral:rRNA from 1 species